rnacentral:rRNA from 1 species
UACAGAGGUGGCAAGCGUUGUUCGGAAUUACUGGGCGUAAAGGGCGCGUAGGCGGUCUCGUAAGUCCUGUGUGAAAUCCCCCGGCUCAACUGGGGAACUGCACAGGAGACUGCUUGGCUUGAGUUCGGGAGAGGGAAGCGGAAUUCCGGGUGUAGCGGUGAAAUGCGUUGAUAUCCGGAGGAACACCGGUGGCGAAGGCGGCUUCCUGGACCGACACUGACGCUGAGGCGCGAAAGCCAGGGGAGCAAACGGG